GAUGAACGCUAGCUACAGGCUUAACACAUGCAAGUCGCGGGGCAGCAUGGGGGUUGCUUGCAAUCCCCGAUGGCGACCGGCGCACGGGUGAGUAACGCGUAUCCAACCUGCCCUUCACCACGGGAUAACCCGGCGAAAGUCGGACUAAUACCGUAUGUUGUCCAUUGACGGCAUCCGAUUUGGACGAAAGGUUUGGCGGUGAAGGAUGGGGAUGCGUCCGAUUAGCUGGACGGCGGGGUGACGGCCCACCGUGGCGACGAUCGGUAGGGGUUCUGAGAGGAAGGUCCCCCACACUGGAACUGAGACACGGUCCAGACUCCUACGGGAGGCAGCAGUGAGGAAUAUUGGUCAAUGGGCGUAAGCCUAAACCAGCCAAGUAGCGUGUAGGAUGACGGCCCUAUGGGUUGUAAACUGCUUUUAUGCGGGGAUAAAGUGGCCCACGUGUGGGUUUUUGCAGGUACCGCAUGAAUAAGGACCGGCUAAUUCCGUG
rnacentral:rRNA from 1 species